UCAUGGGCACAUGCUCACUUGCUCUCUUUCUCAUAUAAAUCUAAAAAAAGAAAAAAAUACAUAUCCUCUAAAAAGGAUGGAUCUCUUGUCCUCAGAUGUGGAGGCAGGCAUGAGAUCCCGCAAGCACUUUAAGGAAAGAUGUCUACGCUACAUUGUAUGUUAUGUAAAUGAGGUUGUGCUCCUCGUUAGGUGGAGAUUUUAGUAUUACAAUGAGGUGUAGGUAGUUGUCCAUCACUCAAGAGGACAUUCUGUGGUCCAAGGGCCCAGGUGUGAGCCAGGGGUUAAGCUCAAGCUGGUUUGGGUGGUGUGGGCCUGCUGGAGGUCUUAUCAGGACCUUCCCUGUGCUAUUGGCCUCUGCCUGAGUCAAUAAACUGGAAAGAAGAGCUUAAGGAGAAAUGUAGAAAAGAGGUCGCUGAGUACAAGCAAGGGGCUGUAAUGGUGAGGGCUUGGGUUCUAGCUGGUAUCAAAAAGACAAUGUUCUUUCUGACUUUGGUCUGCUCCUGAUAAAAAAACUGUGAAAGGUUUUUCUCUACCUUUCAAGCUGACAGCAAAAGAUUUUGUGUUUUACUGAAGUAAUUUCCUGUGUUUCAUGUUAUCUUUAUCAUCAAUUUUUUGAUUACUUAAGAAAACCCAGGCUUCUCAAGAGUAAGAGCCCAGUUUUGCUCACAACUAUGUAAGCUUCUGUAUUUGCCUUUGAAAUCUUUUGUCACUUUGGUUAAAAUAGGUAAUCAAGGAUUGCUUCUAAAUUCUGGUCAAGUAUUCAAAACUAUUGAGCUUUUUGAAGAGCUGAAACUCAAAUUCUAAAUGAAAUCUUUUUAAAAAGAUUUUAUGUACUUAUUUGAGAGAGGUAGCAUGAGAGGGGGGAGGAUCAGAGGGAGAACCAGACGCCCUGCUCUAGGGAGCCUGGUGCGGACUCAUCCCGGGCUCCAGGAUCAUGACCCAAGCCAAAGGCAGUUGCUUAACCAACUGAGCCACAGGCACCCUAAAUGAAGUCUUUUUGACCUUGAAAUAACUAGGGAUGUUCCAGAGGGCCCCUAGAACAUCUCAAGAUUUGUUUCUCUCCUUGUUAAAAGAGCUAUUAAAUUAAAAAAAAAAAAAAAAAAAGCUAUUAAACUACUUAGACUUCUAGUAAAUUACAUGGGAAGCACUCCCAAGUAAGAGAUACUAACCUUUGCUUCGGUUGUAUUUGUAUGGCUACAGGUCAUUAACAUAAAUGUUCCAGAAAUUGUAAUUCCUAGAAAUCUGUUAGGUCGUCACCACUUAUAAUUCUACUUAUUAUCAGUUGCACAAUGGUGAACUUUCACUAGAUCUUUAGCCAUGGCCAUUUUUAAAGUGUUGCUAUUUAUAGGAGUGACGGUCUGCUUUUCCAAGAUGGCUUCAUAAUCAAGGAGAUUCAUGGAAAAAACUCUGACAAAUACAGGCAUCUUAUAACUUUCAAUCAUCCAUUGAACUUCGAAAACUAUGGAAAAAGUGGAAUUACAAAAUUGCUAAUACGAGACCAAGAUAAGCAAGGAUAACAUGUGAUUGAAUGAACCAAUGAAGACGAUUUUAAUUUUUAUGACUUUGAAAUACUAGUUAUUUCCAGACUUAAGGGAAAGCUUUUUAUUUUUUCUUAAGCUACCUUUGACUUAGAGCAAUUUGGUAAAGUAUGUAUUAAUGAACAAAAUAAAACAAUUAUUUUUUUCUCCCUACCUGGUCCCUCUAGAAUUUGGAAACUCAUAGGGACCCUUCUGAUUUCCAUGGCAAUAUGGUCACUUGUCAAGUUCAAUAAGCAUCUGUUCUUAUAAGAGGACGCAGUUAGAAACAGUGGUUAUACUACCAAGACUUUGAGUGGACUGUCAUAUUUGAGAAUGUCCAUAGAAUCAGACGUGACUGUGCAGUUUUAAGAAGGUUAGUUUGACUUUAUGGAGUUGGUAUGACCCCUUUACAGGGUUUGAGGCAGCCUUACCCAGUAAGAAAGGUUACUUUCUGGCAGGGGCAGGAACCACAGAAUAUUUGGGGGAAUCUUAAGAGAGGAACUAACCUAAAUCUAUAGGUAUUAUAGGCAACAUGAGGGUAAGUUCCAAUCUGAGAUUCCUUAUGAUAAGUUCCAGUAAGUUCCAAAAUUUCAAAGAGCAUAUACGGUCAACCACUACUUGUUAUGUAAAUAAUCAGGCCAAGUGUAAUUUUGUUAUUAUUUUUGGCAGAAGUGGGGAUGCUUACAGAGAAAGAUGAUGCUUCAGUGGAAACUCUACUACACCCCUGUGAGUAUCAGAUUCUAGUUGUGUUGUCUGACGUUUCAUUAUUUACCUGUAAAUGGAAUUCUUCUAGUUUCCUUGCAUAAUCUUGCUAGAAACCUCCUCAAAGUAACAUUCCCAAUUUUACUCUCUUUUGACUUGGAGUCACUGAAAACAAACUGCAUGAAAUUCCUGGAAAUUUGAUUUGAUACGUCGUGCUAUAAUGUUAUCACUUAUAAUUCUAGUUACCUUAAAAUGUAGGUCACAGAAGUAACCAGAUGUCCUUGUCAGCUGCAUUGUCGUGAACUCUCAUCAGAUCUUUAAUAUUGGCCAUUUUGUAAGUUUUUUGUCAAUUACAGAAGUUAUUUCAGAACGUUUUGCAAAAGCGUGGAGCCAAGCCCUGCAAACUGAAUGUGAAUGACUUGCUGUAAACUCCACUGAAAUGCCCCAGUAGCUCAUGUUUACAGUCUUCGUGCCUGUUACCUUGUGGGCCAAAGUUGACCUCAACACCUGAUGACAGAGACAUUCACGCUGCAGAAGAUCCUUUGACCCCAAGUAGAAAUCUUCUGACUGGCUGCCCUCAGGGGAGAGAUUCAGUGCAUGAUUUGCUCCAACCAUUACCCUUUUCCUCCCCCCCCCAUAGAAAUGCUGAUUAAAUCCCUGCUUGCACUGUAGAGGCCUAGCUGGGCUUCCACCUGCCCCUCCAGCUCCCCAAAUGAGCCAGCCUGACCUGUUCGCAAGACCGAGACUGGUUCCAUGAAACUACGGAACAAUCUGUCAAUCCACUCAGCUUCUGGACUGUGAAGUCAGCUCUGCAGAGCCCACUGUGGAGCUUGAAGUCAUCCCCUGACAUCAAAGCCACAUGCCCCACCGACUAGGCCAGGCACGCCUGCUCUCAAGAAUUUCUAAGAGUAAAGAAAUAAGAACUUCCCUUUAUAGAGGGCAGCGGUCAAAGACGUGAAAGCCUUGCACACCCACUCCAGUCUGUCUCCCUGCAACUCCUGCAUACCUCGGCCCAUUCUUCUAUGCAGCCCACUGGUGGCAGUUAAGAUCUGGAAUUCAUUACCCGACAGAUCGCUGGCCACCAACAUCUACCAUCCUGUUCGGCACAAACACAGGGCAUCCAAAGGUUGAAACACAUGGCUCUUUGGAGAUGGACAGGAAUCGUCAUAUCGUAGACCCAACACCCCAUCCCUUGGCGGCAAGUUGCACAGACAAGGGAAUGCGGCCCCUCCUAUGCUCCCCCAUCCCGGCCGCAUCUCCCGGCAAUGACCUCAUGCAGAGCUGGCUGUUCACUGGCGGCUGUGCCCUGCUUGCUGGAAAGGUGCUUAUAUCUUGUGUUAUUCAUCUUCAUUAGCAAUCCAACAGGAAGCUGGAGAAAGGGGAGAUCUUAGAGAUUUACUUGACUCGGGGCAGAACCGAGGGCUCUGAUGAAGCCAGCAUGACUCUGUGUCCCUCUCCAUCCAGAGUGGCUAUUAACUCUUCCCCCUGGACGGUGGGAUCCUCCGCAGGGAGGGGGUCCCAGUCGCAGAAUCUCAGACAGGUCUUGGCAGCAUGGGUUAGUGGGAAGCGCCCUGGACCGGGAAUAAGGAGCCCGAGUUCUAGUGCAUUUGGGGCUUGUAAGGACCUCAGCGGUUCCCUAUCUCCACAUCCUCAUUUGUAAAAGGAGCCAAAGACUUUCAAGGCAUCCGGUUUAUCAGUUAUAAAGUAUUACCCAAAUGUAGGCAAAACCAGCCCUAUUAUUGUGACAGAUGCCUAACACUGUUGGCAGAAAGAGGACACACUGAUGGCCUUCCAGCCACAACUUCGAAUCCUGCCCAUGAGCACAUCUGGCAUCCCCUGCCCAAUCCAAGCCAGAGAGAGAGCGAGCGCGCGCGCAGCCCACAGAAGCUGGUUAGUGUGUGGCCCGAGCCUCGGCGCUGGCUUCCUCACGCUUCCCUGCCUGCCUCCACUACCCUCUUCCUCCCGAAUAGAAUCAGAUGGUCUCUCCCCACCCUGGGCUUGGCAUUGAAAGGAUCUGUUUUCUUCCCCGUGUUUGUAAUGAGCCAGUGUCUUAACACUCCCGAUACCCCAGAACCUAGCGCAGUGCCUGGUGGUACAGCAGCCCGCAGACAUGCUGCCCGUACACCGGUCCAUCACCGGAACACAGAACAUCCCGAGAAAGUAACAGCUGAAGAACGUGAGGGCAGGUGACGGCAGCCUGUGCCCAUCCCAGCAAGAGCACUGCUCGAGGGCAGGAAGGGCUCUCUGGGAGGAAAAGCCUUGGUGAUUGCUGGCCAGCCCGUCUUCCUCACUCUGCCCCUGGCAGACAGAAUCCUUGCUUCUGGGGUGCCUGCCUCUCGUGCUGCUCUCCUAACUACGACUUUUUUAAAACUUAUUUUUAAAGUAAUCUCUACACCCAGAGUGGGGCUCGAACGCAUGACCCCGAGACCAAGAGUUGGCAGCGCCCCCUACCUGCAACGAUUACAUUCAGCUCACCGGAGAGUCCCACCUUCCUGAGCGGGUACAAUGCGCAGAGAGGCCCCGCCAUACCACCCUGCAUACCGAGCUCGAGCCAGAAACCCUCUUUCCU